GACGAACGCUGGCGGCGUGCUUAACACAUGCAAGUCGUACGGUAAGGCCCUUUCGGGGGUACACGAGUGGCGAACGGGUGAGUAACACGUGAGUAACCUGCCCACAACUUUGGGAUAACGCUAGGAAACUGGUGCUAAUACUGGAUAUGUGCUCCUGCUGCAUGGUGGGGGUUGGAAAGCUCCGGCGGUUGUGAUGGACUCGCGGCCUAUCAGCUUGUUGGGGGGGUAGUGGCCUACCAAGGCGGCGACGGGUAGGCGGCCUGGGAGGGUGAGCGGCCACAUUGGGACUGUGAUACGGCCCAGACUCCUACGGGAGGCAGCAGUGGGGAAUAUUGCACAAUGGGCGCAAGCCUGAUGCAGCAACGCCGCGUGCGGGAUGACGGCCUUCGGGUUGUAAACCGCUUUCAGCAGGGACGAAGCGUUUUGUGACGGUACCUGCAGAAGAAGCACCGGCUAACUACGUG
rnacentral:rRNA from 1 species